rnacentral:lncRNA from 1 species
UUCGCCCGUCUGUGCCCCACCGGCCGCACCUUUGAAUAGGUAGUCGUACUCGUCGUCCCGGGUCCCCAUUGUCCUGGCGCUUCCGGCGGGAUCGGCGACUCCGCAGCCCCACCACAAACACCCGACGGGGGCGGAGCCGGCGCCGCGCAGAGCGGCGGACCACCCUCCUCGCCCUCGGUGUCCUGGAGAAAGGCGGAAGGAAUGCGGACCUUUUUGAAGUGA